rnacentral:rRNA from 1 species
UACGUAGGUGGCGAGCGUUGUCCGGAUUUACUGGGCGUAAAGAGCCCGCAGGCGGCCUGGCAAGUUCUGGGUGAAAUCUCCCGGCUCAACUGGGAGGGUGCCUAGAAAACUAUCAGGCUUGAGGCAUGGAGAGGGAUGCGGAAUUCCUGGUGUAGCGGUGAAAUGCGCAGAUAUCAGGAGGAACACCGGUGGCGAAGGCGGGUCUCUGGGCCGUAACUGACGCUGAGGAGCGAAAGCGUGGGGAGCGAACAGG